CCCACACUUAACCCAAAAUCCUCUCUCAUCUCUUCUCAGACUGCGUCUUUCUCUCUCUCUCUCUCUCUCUCUCUCUCACUCAUAUUACUCUUGUUUCUCUGGCUCUUUCUCACCAAAUUCUCCAUAAACCAUCCCUCUGUUCUUGGCUUUCUUUUAAAUUGGGGGAAGUAAAAAAGGAGAAAGAUUGAAGAAGGUAUGCCUUUACAGGUUUAAACCACAAUUUCUCACACUUCUAUUAUCACAGACGACAAGACAACAAGUGAUUGAUGAUGAGAAACCCCAAAGAGAUGGAGUAAGACAAGUUACUCACUCAAAGAGGAGCUGUGCUUCAAAGCCCAACAUCUUCUUCUUCUUCACUCCUAUAGCAGCUGCAGGAAUGGCUUCAGAUUCUCAAGUUUAUCAUUUCGAUGAGGUGGCCAAGCACAACCACAAGAGAGAUUGCUGGAUCAUAAUCUCUGGAAAGGAUUAUACAAUUUUGGUAAUGCGUAAGGUGAUGUUUAGACGAGAAGAUGCAGUUCAUCUGGCAGCAACUGCUGCUGUUAUUGAUCUAAUUGUUUCAUAAAAACAAUCCAAGAGAGAUGACAGCAAUCUGAGAUACGCUAUAGCGUGAGGGGAAGCCAAUAUCUCAACCACUGGUUUUCUGGAGCUUCUAAUUCUGAGCUUAGCAAGUUACAAGAUACGCUAUAGAUGCUUGCCACAAAUAUGCAAAGUGUGCAGGAAGAUUAUUCAAAUUUAAGGGCUAAUUUGGUGGCAGCUCUAGAGGCAUCCAACAAUGGUGGGCUGGAUAAUGCACAGUUGAUGUCAAUGUUGCGUGCAGCUUUGAUGCCGUCGGCAACAACCUAGGAUGAGAUUUACAUGUUUAUAUUAUGUUAUUUUGGAUAUUAAGCGUGUUUAAAACCUUGGAUAUAUGAUUAACUUUGAUAUGCUAUUUUGGAUAUUAUUAAUCUAUUAUAUUUA